GACGCGAUCCUUUGCUCGGCAUCCAUUCUGCGUGGUAAUCGUUGAAAAUGCAUUCCCGCCUGGAAGAGAAAAUAUGGAACUCCGAUGAGUUGACCAAGAGGCUUCGAAUGGUUGCAGCGGUGAGAAGAAAGGCCAUCGCUUUUCAUUCAUCAACUGAAAACAUGUCGGUCUGUUCCCUACAUUUCCAUAAAGGAAAACCAGCAUAUGAAAGAAAUGAGGCAGACCCUGACUGGGCACCAUCCUUACGCCUGGGACACACAUGUGUUCAACCCACCAACGUGGACCGCUCUUCUAGAC